CACGUAGGCGGCUUGGUAUGUCGGGUGUGAAAUCCCCGGGCUCAACCUGGGAACUGCAUCCGAAACUGCCUUGCUAGAGUAUGGGAGAGGGAAGUGGAAUUUCCGGUGUAGCGGUGAAAUGCGUAGAUAUCGGAAGGAACAUCAGUGGCGAAGGCGACUUCCUGGACCAAUACUGACGCUCAGGUGCGAAAGCGUGGGGAGCAAACAGGAUUAGAUACCCUGGUAGUCCACGCCCUAAACUAUGAGAACUGGAUGUCGGGAGGGUUUGCCUUCCGGUGUCGUAGCUAACGCGUUAAGUUCUCCGCCUGGGAAGUACGGCCGCAAGGUUGAA
rnacentral:rRNA from 1 species